AUGACCAGGUCACUAGAGGAGGGGGCUGCCCCCACUCAGUCAUGCACCAGCUGUGUGGGAGGCAGGUCCAGUUCCCUUAGACCUGGGUCAGGCUUUUUCCAAAACCCAGCGCUUCCUCGGCAGCUUCCUGAAAACAAGCUGUCCUGCGGGAUGACCUGCCGCCUUGCUGGUCUGUCACUUGCAGCUGGUGUGAGGGAACAGGAAACAGCUGCUUGGGGACUGGAAGGGGCCCUGCCUGGCCUUGGAGCAAGGAAGGAGGCAUCAGGGACUCAGGGGUGA
rnacentral:lncRNA from 1 species